rnacentral:rRNA from 1 species
CUUGGUCAUUUAGAGGAAGUAAAAGUCGUAACAAGGUCUCCGUAGGUGAACCUGCGGAGGGAUCAUUACACAAAUAUGAAGGCGGGCUGGAACCUCUCGGGGUUACAGCCUUGCUGAAUUAUUCACCCUUGUCUUUUGCGUACUUCUUGUUUCCUUGGUGGGUUCGCCCACCACUAGGACAAACAUAAACCUUUUGUAAUUGCAAUCAGCGUCAGUAACAAAUUAAUAAUUACAACUUUCAACAACGGAUCUCUUGGUUCUGGCAUCGAUGAAGAACGCAGCGAAAUGCGAUAAGUAGUGUGAAUUGCAGAAUUCAGUGAAUCAUCGAAUCUUUGAACGCACAUUGCGCCCUUUGGUAUUCCAAAGGGCAUGCCUGUUCGAGCGUCAUUUGUACCCUCAAGCUUUGCUUGGUGUUGGGCGUCUUGUCUCUAGCUUUGCUGGAGACUCGCCUUAAAGUAAUUGGCAGCCGGCCUACUGGUUUCGGAGCGCAGCACAAGUCGCACUCUCUAUCAGCAAAGGCCUAGCAUCCAUUAAGCCCUUUUUUCAACUUUUGACCUCGGAUCAGGUAGGGAUACCCGCUGAACUUAAGCAUAUCAAUAAGCGGAGGA